rnacentral:pre_miRNA from 1 species
CCACCAGAUACUCCUCAACAACUGGAUUGUGAGACACAUGAUUUAAAAGAAAUUAUAUGUAGUUGGAAUCCAGGAAGGUCGACAGGAUUGGUGG